rnacentral:lncRNA from 1 species
GAGAGAGAGAGAUUUUUUUAAACUAGAUCAAAAUCUACAAUUUUGUUGUUCAUCAGUGACUGUCUUUCACCCACCAUUAUUUUCCAUACUGAAAGCAGGAUGUAGACUUUUGUGGGUAAUGAGCAGAUAUAAAUACCUAUGAAUCAGAUAAAUUAUGCUGUAUUUCUUCAUUCCAGAGAAGCUGCUACAAUGAAGGAUGUAAGCAGAUGCUGUUGCCUUGGAGACUGCUCAUUCGAGUCUCGAUUGCACCAGGUGGAUGAUAUCUUUCUUCCUCAGGAGUAUGGAGAUGGUGGCUUUAUUCUCAAAAUGCACUUCUGAGAGAAGAGCUAUGUCCUUGCAACUCACUAUAUGGAAAACAUGGCUAUACUUCAGAAAAACCUCUGUUCUAUGUAGAAGUGAUUUAGAAUCCAAGAAUAUACUUACCUGGAAGAAAAAGAACCUAUUCAGUUGGAUCUUCUCCUGCUGUAGGAGAUAUGGUGACAUGUAUCUACUUGUUACGAGUCAUGAAGAUGUUACUGCAGGCUUGGUGCCUCUCUCCCUCUCUGAGACUGAGAGAAACAAGAAUCUAUUGUAUUGUUGAAGUGUAUUACUGGAUAUGCGGAAUCUACAGAAGAAGUAACAGCACAAGUGCACCCAGUAAAGAGUGAGAUAAUUGGUGAGGAAACUGUUUAUGUGCUGCUUGAACUUGAUGAACUCAUGUAUUUUGAACAGGAAAAGUAGUUACUGAUACCUCCAUAAAUUUGUGUUCUCACUAAAGUUGUAUAUUUUUAAAUAUAAGAGUAAAACAGAAGCAGCACACCUAUUCCCUCACAACUAUUGUGUAGUUGCAAG